rnacentral:rRNA from 1 species
GUGGGGAAUUGUUCGCAAUGGGCGCAAGCCUGACGACGCAACGCCGCGUGGAGGAUGAAGAUCUUCGGGUCGUAAACUCCUUUCGAUCGAGACGAAUGGCCCUUGGGUUAAUAGCCUGAGGGAAUGACGGUACCGAGAGAAGAAGCCCCGGCUAACUCCGUGCCAGCAGCCGCGGUAAUACGGGGGGGGCAAGCGUUGUUCGGAAUUACUGGGCGUAAAGGGCUCGUAGGUGGCCAACUAAGUCAGACGUGAAAUCCCUCGGCUUAACCGGGGAACUGCGUCUGAUACUGGAUGGCUUGAGUUUGGGAGAGGGACGCGGAAUUCCAGGUGUAGCGGUGAAAUGCGUAGAUAUCUGGAGGAACACCGGUGGCGAAGGCGGCGUCCUGGACCAAUACUGACACUGAUGAGCGAAAGCCAGGGGAGCAAACGGGAUUAGAAACCCUUGUAGUCC